UACAGAGGUCUCAACCGUUGUUCGGAUUCAUUGGGCGUAAAGGGUGCGUAGGCGGUCGUGCAAGUCGGAUGUGAAAUCUCAGGGCUCAACCCUGAAACUGCAUUCGAUACUGCGUGGUUAGAGUGCUGGAGAGGAGACUGGAAUUUACGGUGUAGCAGUGAAAUGCGUAGAUAUCGUAAGGAAGACCAGUGGCGAAGGCGAGUCUCUGGACAGCAACUAACGCUGAGGCACGAAGGCCAGGGGAGCAAACGGG
rnacentral:rRNA from 1 species